CACGGGCUGAGGAGGAAAUAUGUUUCCGCCACAUGCUGAUUUACAGCGAGCUGCUGGUGGAGGCUGAUAGAUAUUUGUUUCCAUGCGGCCGCCGGGAGUCAGAUGGUGACUGUUGCUACGUCUUCAUAUCCUCGACGCCGCCUGAUGAGCUCUCACGUCCUCAAGUGUGCCUCCCGUAUUCCUCCCCGGCCUGCUUCUCCCUCCACACCUGCCCUGCAUCAACCUCGUCAGCCCUGCCCUGCUCCCAUUGUCCCUCCCCAGCAUAUCAGCUCCUUGCCUGGUCUCCCAUCUCGUCACCUGUUCCCUAUUCCCCCCCCGUUAGUUCAGUUUGUAUUUAAGUCCUGUUGUUCAGUUCGCUCUUUGUUGGAUCAUCUGUUCUGUCUUGCUUUGCCUGCACUCCUGAGUCCUGUUCCCGAAUAAAUAUUAAUUCUUCACUUCCUGUUGCCUGCAGUCUCCUGCUUUUGGGUCCAUCUGCUCUGCUCCGCAGUGACAGAAUGAUCCAACCGCACAUGGAUCCAGCAGACAAACUUGGUGAGGUGAUUCACACCAUUCAGCACCUCAUCAACUAUUGCAGUAACACCUUCAGUGUAGAGUACAAGGAAGCAGCUCAGAAAAUGGCUCUCCAGGAUGUUGCUUCCAGGAUUUGCCUAGCAGAAGUACUAGCUUGAAUUGCAGGGGGACUUGACAACUACUCUGGUCUCCUUGUCUGCUAGUCUCCAGACUGCUCCUGAGCUGCAGCUGUCUCCCGUUGCUGUGCUUCUGCAGUCUCCUGUUUCACCAGAUCCACUGGCCCGGCUCACCUGCCUGUCUCCCAGCUGCCGGACUCUAGUCCUGCACUCCAGCCUCGUCAUGGUUUCUGGUAUUGUCAUAUUCUGGAUAAUAGUGGAAUAUUAGCGUGCAUGUAAACGUACUUAUUGAUCUACAAAGGGUGAAACAGGAAAACAAAGUACAUCUAAGUGAUGAAUCAGUGACUCAACAACAGGCUCAUGUCUGCCCAAAAUGUAACUUGAGGUUGAUAUUUUAAUCUUCUGUGUGUGUAAAAGGAGUGGGUGAAAAAUGAACUGAUCUACUAA